AUUGAACGCUGGCGGAAUGCUUUACACAUGCAAGUCGAGCGGCAGCACGGGGGCAACCCUGGUGGCGAGCGGCGAACGGGUGAGUAAUACAUCGGAACAUGCCCAGUCGUGGGGGAUAACACUUCGAAAGAAGUGCUAAUACCGCAUACGUCCUGAGGGAGAAAGCGGGGGAUCUUCGGACCUCGCGCGAUUGGAGUGGCCGAUGUCAGAUUAGCUAGUUGGUGGGGUAAAGGCCUACCAAGGCAACGAUCUGUAGCUGGUCUGAGAGGAUGAUCAGCCACACUGGGACUGAGACACGGCCCAGACUCCUACGGGAGGCAGCAGUGGGGAAUUUUGGACAAUGGGGGCAACCCUGAUCCAGCCAUUCCGCGUGAGUGAAGAAGGCCUUCGGGUUGUAAAGCUCUUUCGGCAGGAACGAAACGGCGAGAUAUAACAUAGCUUGCUAAUGACGGUACCUGAAGAAGAAGCACCGGCUAACUACGUGCCAGCAGCCGCCGUAAAAC
rnacentral:rRNA from 1 species